rnacentral:rRNA from 1 species
UACAGAGGUCCCAAGCGUUGUUCGGAUUCACUGGGCGUAAAGGGUGCGCAGGUGGUUUGGCAAGUUUGACGUGAAAGCCCCGGGCUUAACCCGGGAAUGGCGUUGAAAACUGCUUGAACUGGAGGGUCGGAGGGGGGACUGGAAUUCUUGGUGUAGCAGUGAAAUGCGUAGAUAUCAAGAGGAACACCAGUGGCGAAGGCGAGUCCCUGGACGAUACCUGACGCUGAGGCGCGAAAGCUAGGGGAGCAAACAGG